GCAACUGCAGGAGUCUGAAUCUUUUUCGAACACAAGAGAAUUGAUGGAGUGAUAUAAGAAGGUUUCUUUGUUAAUUGAUUAUUCUCUUCCGCUUACAGGGGAUGGCGCUAAGAAUAAGUGCUUUGAUGAACUAAUAGG